AACGGAGGGUGCAAGAGGUAUCCGGAAUCACUGGGUUUAAAGGGUGCGUAGGCGGCUAAAUAAGUCAGAGGUGAAAGCUUGCAGCUUAACUGCGAAAUUGCCUUUGAUACUGUAUAGCUUGAAAGGAGCUGAGGUCAGCAGAAUGUGGCAUGUAGCGGUGAAAUGCAUAGAUAUGCCAUAGAAUACCAAUUGCGAAGGCAGCUGGCUGGGCUUACUUUGACGCUGAGGCACGAAAGCGUGGGGAUCGAACAGG
rnacentral:rRNA from 1 species